rnacentral:rRNA from 1 species
AGAGUUUGAUCCUGGCUCAGGAUGAACGUUAGUAGCAUGCCUAACAUAUGCAAGUCGAACGGUGAAAGAUAUAAUCUGAAAGGAGAAAUCUUAGUAAGACUAUAUUGAGUAAUAGUGGCGAACGGGUGAGUAAUGCUUAUCUUACCUGCCGUUUAGUGGGGAGCAAGAACGAUGACCUCAUGGGCAACCAUGGGGGAGUUUGAAUACCGCAUAUUCUGGUUUCGACCAGGAAAGGAAGCCGUAAGGUUUUCGCUAAACGAUGGGGAUAAGUCGUAUCAGUUAGUUGGUGGGGUAAAGGCCUACCAAGACAAUGACGCGUAGCCGGGCUGAGAGGCUGAUCGGCCACAAGGGAACUGAGAUACGGUUCCUACUUCCUUCGGGAGGUCGCAAUGGGGAAUCAUCGGCAAUGGGGGAAACCCUGACCGUGCAAUGCUACGUGAAGGAUGAAGGUCUACGGAUUGUAAACUUCUUUACUAGAGGGUACUGACGUAAGGAUUGCCCUUUAGCAAAAAGUCACGACUAACUAUGUGCCAGCAGUCGCGGUAAGACAUAGGUGGCGAACGUUAUCCGGAUUUAUUGGGCGUAAAGGAUGCGUAGAUGGUAGAAUAAGUUAUUGGUCGAAAUCGAGCUCAACUUGAUGGAGGCUAGUAAUACUGUUCUACUAGAGGGCGAAGAGGUUAGCGGAACUUACACAAGUAGGGGUGAAAUCCAAUGAUCUGUGAGGGACCACCAAAAAAGGCGAAGGCAGCUAACUAUUCUGUUCCUGACAUUGAGGCAUGAAAGCGUGGGGAGCAAAACGGAUUAGAUACCCUAGUAGUCC